AAAAAUCUACAAGAAACUGUUUAUCCUCCGUCAGUUCAGACUUUAUAGGAAAGUCUUGUUAGGGGCAUACACUCAACUCUCCUACUUUUCCUCCAAAAGGUAGAAGAAAAUCCAAGUCAGA